rnacentral:rRNA from 1 species
UACGUAGGGUGCAAGCGUUGUCCGGAAUUAUUGGGCGUAAAGAGCUCGUAGGCGGUUUGUCGCGUCUGCUGUGAAAACCCGAGGCUCAACCUCGGGCCUGCAGUGGGUACGGGCAGACUAGAGUGCGGUAGGGGAGAUUGGAAUUCCUGGUGUAGCGGUGGAAUGCGCGGAUAUCAGGAGGAACACCGAUGGCGAAGGCAGAUCUCUGGGCCGUAACUGACGCUGAGGAGCGAAAGCAUGGGGAGCGAACAG